rnacentral:rRNA from 1 species
AGUGAAUAGAUACCCGGGUAGUCCACGCCAUAAACGAUGACAACUAGACGUCGAGAGGAUUUGCCUCACGGUGUCGCAGCUAACGCGUUAAGUUGUCCGCCUGGGGAGUACGGCCGCAAGGUUGAAACUCAGAGGAAUUGACGGGGACCCGCACAAGCGGUGGAGCAUGUGGUUUAAUUCGAUGCAACGCGAAGAACCUUACCUGGCCUUGACAUGUCUGGAAGACCGCAGAGAUGUGGUUGUGUCCGAAAGGAAACCAGAACACAGGUGCUGCAUGGCUGUCGUCAGCUCGUGUCGUGAGAUGUUGGGUUAAGUCCCGCAACGAGCGCAACCCUUGUCCUUAGUUGCCAGCACUUCGGGUGGGCACUCUAAGGAGACCGCCGGUGACAAACCGGAGGAAGGUGGGGAUGACGUCAAGUCAUCAUGGCCUUUAUGGCCAGGGCUACACACGUGCUACAAUGGUCGGUACAAAGGGUUGCCAACGCGCGAGCGGGAGCCAAUCCCAUAAAGCCGAUCGUAGUCCGGAUCGGAGU